rnacentral:misc_RNA from 1 species
AUUUCGACAAUCGUAUUUAUUUUAUUGACAACACAACAUUAUAGUCCACACGUGGCGGAUAGAGUGCUCGCGACACGGAGUGCGGCGCGCGACACAGGCACAGGACGGCCGCUACAGCGCGCUACGUCGCCGUACGUAGCGCUACGCGCCCCGUGAGGACGAGAGAUCGUCUAUUUUACGAAUACAACAAUCAAUAUAUCAUAUGUAUUAGCUUCUCCAACUAUGUCAUUAUAUGUGUUAACGCUAGAGGUAACGAUAUAUUUAUUUCAUACUUUUAUUUUAUUAACCAAUGUCUGGAUAAGAGAAUAUGACUUCAACAACGAACGAUAAAUUGUUAUACAAUACACGUCGGUGCUAUCUAUGCGACCUCUGCCACAGGACCGGAUACGUACACAGGCAUCGCUUGACACUUUCUAUAAUUUUAAUAAACACAGGCGACGUAUCGGUCCGGUGCCGGAUAUUGUCGACCCCUUUCUCUAGACAUUUUGAAUGCACCUCAUCCCGGAUUCGAGUAUUCGUCCAAUAAAUAUUUUUAUAUGACUUUUAUAAUCCAAAUAGUUACAUUUGUGCUCUAACAAAUAAAUAAUUAAUUACAAAAUAAUACACUAAGUAUUGCUAGAACCCUUUUAACUUCAUAUAAUAUACAAUAAGAUAUAAUAUAAAUAGCUCGUAGCAAUUGCAAACGUCAUCUCAACGUGAAUGUAGAAAAGUUCAAAACUAGGCAGUUCGAGUAUAGCAAGUACGACAGUGUAGCGCUAGUAGUGCCCAACAAACUAACGUAGAAACAUUAGGGAUAAUAUUCUAAAACGUACGAAAGCUAUAUCAAGUAUAGUAAUGCUUCAAGCUGGGCGUAACAACUUCUCCACGGCGAGCUCUUGUUGCGUAGCGAUGCUCCUUUUCCUCCUUUCAUUACUUUUCAUUUGGCGUCGCCCUAAUAAUGUUAUUCGCUACGUCCGGUUCGCAUUUCGCCUAUUUUGGGUGGCUUUGCCCACAACCUGUUUUGAGGGCUGCAUCCGCCCCUGUUAAAAACUGUCAACGAAUCAAAGACGCUACAGUUGGAUCGUCGCCUGACUUUACUUUGUAUUCGUGCCUCUUUGUAGGUAAAUACAUAUUUUUAUUAAGUUAUAUCGUAAUAAUAACAUAUAAUUGGACCAUUAUGAUUAACAUUUCAUUUAAUAAAUAGUAUUUUUGUAAUAAUAAUAAUAUAAUAUAGGAAAUGACAUAAAUAUGAUUUGUCUGUUCAAAGGCUAUUACAGUUUAGACAAAAUUACGCAUAAGAUACAUUUGAUUAAUAAAUAAGUACUCU